UUGAUAACGGGAAGGAAGAAACUAGAAAGAAGCACGAGAGAGAGAGAGAGAGAGAGAGAGAGGGAUGGAACUGGAGAGAAGAGAAAGUCCAGAGAGAAGAAAUCGAUCGUGGAAGAGACUGUCUUCCGUCGUCUACCCCGGUCGUCGGCCGGCGGCCAUAAGAAAAAGAAGAUCGAGAGAAAGGAGAAAAACCAACGGUUUGCCCGGCCUUCGUUCGUUCUGCUCUGCUCUGUCCACCGGACCCUGAUAUCAACUAUGUCGAUACAUUGUUAUUUCACUUGCCAUCCAUUACUGUUUGAACCUUGCUGAGCUUAAUAUUUUAUUUCCUUCCUAUGUGUGAUGUUAGAUCUAAAUUGGCAUUGUAGAACUUGCCUCGAAAUGCAUGUUGAACACACAUAAGGACUUGAUAUAAGUAAGAUGAUGGGGGCAUUAGGUAUACCUACUUGGCUUAAAUUAUCCUACCCAAAAUUUUAUCCACUAGUUAACAUUGUUGAGCCUUUUUAUAACCUUUUCAUUCUUUAAUUAAUCAUUAAUCCUUUAGCCAUAUACCAUUUUUUGGAUUUAUACCUUAUAUUGAUCCUUGUGUCGAAGGAAGAGUGGAAAUUUUAUGGCUAUCAUUUAUAUUAUUCUUGUAUACAAUGUAGAAAAGGAAAUUUUAGUGUUGUUGAUGUUUACAAAAAAGAAAAUAAAACAAAGGGGCUAGACCCCAACAAAACAAAAAAAAAAAAAAACCAAAAAAAUACUGAAACAAGAAAGCAAAAAGAAGCAGCACAAAAAAGUACAAAAAAACCAAAAAGAAACAAAAAUGAGUGGAGUUACGGUUACCAAUGUAAUGUUGAUUUCAGUUUUUACAAGUGAUAUGCUUUAAUUCUUUCCAUUGUUGUUUCGACACUUUUUAGCCGUUCAUUAUCUUUUUUCUACCUAUACCCCGAGCCCCAUUACACCUGUUUAAAGACCCCCUGAUACUUGUCAUUAGGUCCCUUAAGUGAGGGAGAUAUGAUUGACAUGCAAGCCUAUGGGAUUGUCAUUUUUAUGAUUUAACUUGAGUGCAUACACUUACCCAUGGUGAGGUUUGUUGAGCUCAGCUUGGUUCACUCAUUAUUAUUAUCCAUUUAGCUGUGAUUCCGGGUGAAAGAUUGGAGUGCAUUGUUCAAGUACCACAAUGGAAAUGCAGUGCCUACUCAAAGAAAUGAACAAAAUAAAGAGAAAAAAAAUCAGAAAAAAAAUAACAGAUAAAAAAAAAAUGAGAAAAAGGAAAAAGUAAAAAAAAAAAAAAAAAAAAAAAAAACAGAAAAAAGAAAAAGAAAGAGAAAAAAAAAAGUCAAUCAAAGUGCAAAUGUCGAACUUGUGGGUGGCUGUGAAAGAAAACAUGAAAACGAUGAAGCAAAGGAACUCAUUAGGUCAAAACAUCCUAUGUCGGCCUUCAUCUACUCACACAAGUGCCAAGCUGCAUUACCUGUAAAAAAUAAGAACAUUGUGGAGGUUUUGAAGACCGUCGGUGAGGGUUGGAUAUGCAAUACUUACCCAAAGAAAGUUAAAUAAAUAAAAGAAAAAGAGAAAAAAAAUGAAAAAAAAAAAAAAGAAAUGCAAUCCAAAUGCUUGUCGAACUUGUUGGGGGCAAAAUGGAAGACAAUUAAUGAAGUCGCGAAGGAAAACAAGAAAACUAAAUAUGAAAGAAAAGGACAUAUUAAAGCCAAAACAUCCUAUGUCAGGCCUCCAUCUAAUCGAACAAGCGGUGAGCUACAUUGGUUGAAGAGAAUAAGAACAUUUUUGAGAACAUCGUAACAAGGAUGCUUCAGAUUCCACUGGAAAUAGAGUUGUUUAUGCUGAAGCUAAAUGUUCUGCAUAUUUUAACACUACAAUGGACAUGCGUACCAACCCAAAAAUAUGAAAAGAAAAAAAAAAGAAAAAAAAGUCUGAACAAAAAAAGUUAAAAGAAAUGAAAAAAAAAACAGAGAAAAAAUAAAAAGAAAGAGAAAAAAGCAAAAAAAUUGAAAAAAAAAAAGAAAGUCAAUCGACAAACAUCGAACCUGUUGAGGGCUGUGAAAGAAAACAAGAAAAAAAGAAGGAGGAGAACCCAUUACGGCCGAAACAUCCUAUGUCGGCCUUAAUCUACUCGGACAAGUGCCGAGCUACAUUGAUUUUAGAGAAUAAGAACAUUGUGGAGGUUUUGAAGACCGGCAGGGAGGGGUGGACAUGCAAUACUUACCCAAGGAAAGUAAAAUAAAUAAAAAUGAAAACAAAAAAAGAAGAAGAGAUGAAACAGUAAAGAAGGCCAAUCUAAAUGUGACUUCAAAGAGGUGUCGAACUUGUUGGGGGCAAAAUGGAAGACAAUUAGUGAAGUCGUGAAAGAAAACAAGAAAACAAAAAUAGGAAGGAAAAGGACAUAUUAAAGCCAAAACAUCCUAUGUUAGGACUCCAUCUACUCGAACAAGCGGUGAGCUACAUUGAUUGAAGAGAAUAAGAACAUUGUUGAGAUUGUGCCGGUGAGGAAAGGACAUGAAGAAUGUGCUUAAAAGUACGGUCUCGCUAUUUUUUUGAAGUUGAGAAGAGAUACUUAUCCUUUUUUGGAUGCCAAAGCUUUUUGGGCAGGAGAUGAUAUAGCAUUGGCUUAAUUACAUCUUAUUAAUGUUUUCUUUAUAAUGCAGCACCAUAAUGGACAUACAGUGCGUACCCAAAAAAUGAAAAGAAAAAUAAAAAGAAAGAAAAAAAUAUCUGAAAAAAAAACAGUUAAAAAAAAAAGAAAUGAAAAGAAACAGAAAAAAAGAAAAAGGAAAAACAAAAGAAAAAAGCAAAAAAAUUGAAGAAACAUAAACAGAAAAAAGCAAAAUAAUUGAAAAAAAAAAGGCUGUGAAAGAAAACAAGAGUAUAUAUGAAUUUGUUUACUUUUUCUAAAUCCUAUUGGUUGUUAGUUUGUUAAAUAAUCAUAUAUGGUUCUUCUACGUAGAUAGGAAGGAGAACCCAUUACGGCCGAAACAUCCUAUGUCGGCCUAAAUCUACUCGAACAAGUGCUGAGCUACGUUGAUUUUAGAGAAUAAGAACAUUGUGGAGGUUUUGAAGACCGGCAGGGAGGGGUGGACAUGCAAUACUUACCCAAGGAAAGUAAAAUAAAUAAAACAGAAAAAAAGAAGAAAAGAUGAAACAGAAAAGAAGGCCAAUCUAAAUGUGACUUCAAAGAGGUGUCGAACUUGUUGGGGGCAAAUUAGAAGACAAUUAGUGAUGUCGUGAAAGAAAACAAGAAAACAAAAUAGGAAGGAAAAGGACAUAUUAAAGCCAAAACAUUCUAUGUCAGGCCUCCAUCUACUCGAACAAGCAUUGAGCUACAUUGAUUGAAGAGAAUUAGAACAUUGUUGAGAUUGUGAAGACUGCCGGUGAGGGAUGGACAUGAAGAAUGUGUUUCAAAAGUACGGUUUGACUACUUUUUUGAAGUUGAGAAGAGAUAUUCAUCCUCUUUUGGAUGCCAAAGCUGAAAAGCACCAUAAUGGACAUGUUGUGCCUACCCAAAAAAAUGAAAAGAAAAAAGAAAAAAAAAAUCUGAAAAAAACGGUUUAAAAAAAAACAGAUGAAAAAAAACAGAGAGAAAAAAAAAAGAGAAAAAAAGAUGAAACAGAAAAGAAAGCCAUUCCAAAUGCUCACUUCAAAGAGAUUUCGAACUUGUUGGGGGCAAAAUGGAAGACAAUUAGUGAAGUCGUGAAAGAAAACAAGAAAACAAGAAAACUAUAUAGGAAGGAAAAGGACAUAUUAAAGCCAAAACAUCCUAUGUCAGGUCUUCAUCUACUCGAACAAACGGUGAGCUACAUUGAUUGAAGAGAAUAAGAACAUUGUGGAGAUGAUAAUGGAGCGUGUUUGUUCUCUUCCGCCAAAUAUUGUCCAUCAGAUUGUUGAGUUGGCUGGAACUGCGACAAUAAUUCAGGGCACAUCUCCUCUUGCUUGUGGAUUCUAUUCGACCUAACGAAAACGUUGGCAGUGCACCCUGCAAUGCUUCAAGGGCAGCUUACAUGCCAAUUGACAUCAGUAAUGAGCAAUGGAUGCUGUAUUUUGUCAAAUACAGAAGGAUCGGAAGCUUGGUCUUGCUCUUUUCCAGGCUCCUUGGCCUGUUGUUGAUAAAUUUUUAUCUUCAGAUAGUCAUAUCACUAUGUUGGAGCUGUGCCAGGCUCCUGAAGUCGAGCGCUAUUUGCAUGAUUUACUUCCAUACGCACUUGCUGUAUUGCACAUUGUAACUUUGAUUCCUUAUAGUCGCAAACCUUCUGUGAAUGCUACAUUGACCAAUGAUCGGGUUGGUAUAGCUGUCAUUUUGGAUGCUGCAAAUGGUGAUGGUUAUGAUGAACCUGAGAUUGUUGAACCAGCAUUGAGUUUUUUAAUAAAGCUUGUGUGCCAUCCUUCAUCAAUAAGCAAUAAGCCAAGUCUCAUGCAAGGUCAGCAAUACGGAAAUCAAUCUGCUAUAAACUCCAGGGACAGAAAUUCAGAGAGGAAUUUCCCAGGAACUGGGGAACUGACACCUAUGCCAUCAUCUGUUGGUAACACUUCAUCAUCACAGGCAUCUGCUUCAUUAGUUGCUUCUGGUUUAGUUGGAGACCGCAGAAUUUCGUGCUUGGCUUGGUGCUCAGCUUGAACAAGGAUAUCAUCAAGCUAGAGAAGCUGUUCGUGUAAAGCAUGCUUCUUCAGUUUCUCCAACCUCGAAUGGUGACAUCCCCUGCAGCUCUUGAUUGUCUUCGUGCUCUUACAUGCCGAGUGCUUUUAGGUUGAUGCUAUUUCAAUAUUGACCGAACUUCAGGUUGGGAAAAGUUAUCAGAGCUCAUCCGAGUGGGAGCCAAACUGCCAGUGGUGACCAAAAUAGGUGACUGGCCGAAUUAACUCAAGUGAGCUUAUUGGUAAUCAUAAACUCUGAGGUGUGGGAUCUCCGGAGCCAUCAUUAGAUCAGACGGUCGGUGAUAACAUUUAAUGCCAGUGGUGAUGUUAUAUAUGCAAUCCUCAGGCGAAAUCUAGAGGAUGUCACUUCAGCAUUCAAUGCACGCCAUGUGAAGCACCCUCUCUCUUUUGCUUUUUGCAUUGUGGAUGCUGUCAACUAUUUCGGAUAUUGCGAAAGUUCCCGUGGAUCCCUGGUGUAGUUGCUAAAUUAUUCCUAGACUCUCUGCAGCAGAAACAAGAAGACAAAUAUAUUAUUCAUAGACUCAUGAUUACGAAUAUCCUCUACAUGUGGAUGCAGCAGCAAAUUGUGAAGUUAUAUCACUUUGCAUUGAAUAGAAUUGGUGCCUGCGAGCGUGGUCCGAAUCAGAUUGAAUCAAGGGACCGAACUGGGGAACUGAUUCCAUCUUCUGUUGCUCAUCAUCACAGGCAUCUGCUAGUUGCUUCUGGUUUAGUUGGAGAUUUAGGUGCUCGAGCAGGUUGUGCUGGGCUGGUUCGAAUGGUGACAUCCCCUGCAGCUCUUGAUUGUUUUCAUGCUCUUACAUCCUGAGUACUUUAGCAGCUAGUGAUGCAGCGACUCCCACUUUGAGACCAUUGAAAGAGGAGCAGCCAUUGCUGCUGCUACUCCAGUUUCUUAUCAUUCUAGGGCUUAUCCAUGAGCACCUUCAAUUAUCUGGAUUAGGUUAUCACCAAUGCCAUCCUUGGCUGCUCCAUCAUCUUUAGCACAACACGCAUCUGGGCAGGAGUUGUCAUCAGUACAAAUGCAAUGGCCAUUCUAGCUUGAGAAGCUUAUCCAUUAGCAUCUGGAUUAGGUGAGACUGCAUCUUUGCUAAGUUAUCACCAUUGGCUGCUCCAUCAUCUUUAGCGCAACACGCAUCUGGGCAGGAGUUGUCAUCAAUACAAAUCCAAUGGCCAUCUGAAUGAGCAACUUGUGGAUUCUUGUUGGAUAGACCAAAUUGGUGAACAUACACUCAGACCAUAUGGAUUCGAACUUGUUAUGCACACCAUCUGUUGAGAGUUCUGCUAACCAGUCGACGUAUUUAUCCUCAUGUCUGCCCUGAGCCAAGCAUUCAAUGUUUGCAUCACUGCCAUCAGAUUCAUCCCGGUGUUAAAUCCUUGUGUAUGAUGAUAUCCAGUCUUGUCAAUUGGAUCUGACACUGACUGAUACUUCUAAUAACCCGUCUGGACAUGAUCAUGGAUGUGAUUAUGCAUAUUGACUCAAUGCUGCUUUGGAAUGGAGUUUUGUGGGAUCGCAAGACCAAUUCAUCAAUUUUAUCAAUUUACUGCCUGUGAUGGUGGGGGCUACCAUUCUGCUGGGAAUGAGAUUGUUGAACCAGCGUUGAAUUUGUUAUUGUGUGCCCUCCUUCAUGAAUAAGCAAUAAGCCAAGUCUCAUGCAAGGUCAGCAAGCUUCUUCUACCCAAGCUGGAAAUCAAUCUGCUAUAAACUCCAGGGAUAGAAAUUCAGAGAGGAAUGUCCCAGAGCGUGGUCCAAAUCAGAAUGAAUCAAGGGAUCUAACUGGGGAACUGACACCUAUGCCAUCAUCUGUUGGUAACACUUCAUCAUCACAGGUAACACUUCAUCAUCACAGGCGUCUGCUUCAUUAGUUGCUUCUGGUUUAGUUGGAGAUCGCAGGAUUUCGUGCUUGGACAAGGAUAUCGUAAAGCUAGAGAAGCUGUUCGUUCAAGGCAUGGUAUAAUGGUUCUUCAGCUUCUCCAACCUCGAAUGGUGACAUCCCCUGCAGCUCUUGAUUGUCUUCGUGCUCUUACAUGCCGAGUGCUUUUAGGUUGAUGCUAUUGCACAUAUAUUGACCGAACUUCAGGUUGGGAAAAGUUAUCAGAGCUCAUCCGAGUGGGAGCCAAACUGCCAGUGGUGACCAAAAUAGAUGGCAGGCCGAAUUAACUCAAGUGAGCUUAUUGGGCUUAUCCAUGAGCACCUUCAAGCAUCUGGAUUAGCUGAGAGUGCAUCUUUGCUAAGUUAUCACCAUUGGCUGCUCCAUCAUUUAGCACAACACACAUCUGGGCAAGAGUUGUCAUCAGUACAAAUGCAAUGGCCAUCUGAACGAGCAACUUUUCAGGAACACCAUCAGUGUCUACUGGGAAAUCAAGUUGCGAUCCAGACAAUCCGAGAAGAACUCCAAUAGUGUUGCCAAUGAAACGGAAAAACAGACAUGAAAGAAAAUGGGUUUGGAUCAUCGGUAAAACUGGUGAACAUACACUCAGACUACCUGGUUUUUCAACACCGAAUUCUGCUUGUAGAAGUGGUCUGCAGGUGGAUUCGAACAUACACUUAAGGCGAGGAAGACGAUGAUGAUAAUGAAAGUGAGGUUCUUGAAUCUUUCAGCAGUGACGAUCUUCUGUGAUCGAUCCUUCUUAAAGCUGCAAUCCUACAGCUGAAGAUGCUCACACUUUUACGAUAAAACUCAUGAGAAUUGGUUGAAUCAAGAACAACAUCGUGAGGGGCAAGGCAAAUAAACCAAACCGGAUGAGAAUUGGUAUGCAAUUUUCUUUCAUUUUGUUGAGAUUAAAUUGAUGCCUAAUAUCAAAUUGAUGUGUUUUCACUCUGUUGAGGUUGAAUCAAGAACAAUCAUGAUAAGAAUUGGUUGAAUCAAGAACAUCAUCGUGAGUAGAGGGAAGGAUUAGAGGCCAAAUCCGACAAGAAUUGGUUGAAUCAAGAACAACAUUGUGAUGUUAAAGGGGCAAGGCAUACGGACCAAUCAUGAUAAGAAUUGAACAACAUCAUGAGUAGAGGGAAGGAUUAGAGGCCAAAUCCGGCAAGAAUUGAACAACAUUGUGA